GACGAACGCUGGCGGCGUGCUUAACACAUGCAAGUCGAACGGAAAGGCCCUGCUUUUGUGGGGUGCUCGAGUGGCGAACGGGUGAGUAACACGUGAGUAACCUGCCCUUGACUUUGGGAUAACUUCAGGAAACUGGGGCUAAUACCGGAUAGGAGCUCCUGCUGCAUGGUGGGGGUUGGAAAGUUUCGGCGGUUGGGGAUGGACUCGCGGCUUAUCAGCUUGUUGGUGGGGUAGUGGCUUACCAAGGCUUUGACGGGUAGCCGGCCUGAGAGGGUGACCGGCCACAUUGGGACUGAGAUACGGCCCAGACUCCUACGGGAGGCAACAGUGGGGAAUAUUGCACAGUGGGCGGGAGCCUGAUGCAGCAACCCCGCGUGCGGGAUGACGGCCUUCGGGUUGUAAACCGCUUUCGCCUGUGACGAAGCGUGAGUGACGGUAAUGGGUAAAGAAGCACCGGCUAACUACGUG
rnacentral:rRNA from 1 species